rnacentral:rRNA from 1 species
UACGUAGGGGGCAAGCGUUGUCCGGAAUUAUUGGGCGUAAAGGGUAGGUAGGUGGUCUCAUUUGUCUAGGGUGAAAGCCUGGGGCUUAACCCCAGAAGUGCCCUGGAAACGGUGAGACUGGAGUACUGGAGAGGGUCGUGGAAUUCCCGGUGUAGCGGUGAAAUGCGUAGAGAUCGGGAGGAACACCAGAGGCGAAGGCGGCGACCUGGACAGUAACUGACACUCAACUACGAAAGCGUGGGGAGCAAACAGG